rnacentral:rRNA from 1 species
UACAGAGGGGGCAAGCGUUGUUCGGAAUUACUGGGCGUAAAGGGCGCGUAGGCGGCCUGCUAAGUCGCACGUGAAAUCCCUGGGCUCAACCCAGGAACUGCGUCCGAUACUGGUUGGCUUGAAUCCGGGAGAGGGAUGUGGAAUUCCAGGUGUAGCGGUGAAAUGCGUAGAUAUCUGGAGGAACACCGGUGGCGAAGGCGACAUCCUGGACCGGCAUUGACGCUGAGGCGCGAAAGCCAGGGGAGCAAACAGG